CUGGCCGGGACGGAUCGGUUAGGAGGCACGGCAGCGCGCACAGCCGCACAGCGCGGCCCUCGUCGCGAACAGCGCAACGCGAGCAUUCACGUCGCGGACGCGAACACCACGCACCGCGGCGGCCUUGCGGACAGCCACGGACAGCCCUGCGGACGACAGCCAAGAGAGGGAGGAAGUCCCCCGCGCCGUUGUCACCGAGACCCUCGCGCACGAUGGGCCGACGGGCACCCGUCGUCCAGGCCGCGCCGCCGCCAUGCAGCCCCUCUCCACGGAGGCGCGUUUGAGUGACUGAUUAAAAGUCCGCUGCCGCUCGGCCCUGCCCACCCCGGCCGCCCCUUCCAUCUUCCAUGCGACCCGCAGUCGCUGAGGUCCGAUGGCCCCUACGCCUCCGAACGUGAACCUGACCGCCGCUGGGGCCGGCAACGGCGCUGGCCCCGGCAGCGUGCCUGCCGCCGCCCCGGCCGCCCCC